GAUGAACGCUGGCGGCGUGCUUAACACAUGCAAGUCGAACGAGCUUUAUUACUACGAUCCCUUCGGGGUGACGGUUUUAAAGCGAGUGGCGGACGGGUGAGUAACGCGUGGAUAACCUGCCAUAUACUGGGGGAUAACAGCUGGAAACAGCUGCUAAUACCGCAUAAAACUGUAGAGUCGCAUGACUUUAUAGCCAAAGCUCCGGCGGUGUAUGAUGGAUCCGCGUCUGAUUAGGCAGUUGGCGGGGUAACGGCCCACCAAACCGACGAUCAGUAGCCGACCUGAGAGGGUGACCGGCCACAUUGGGACUGAGACACGGUCCAGACUCCUACGGGAGGCAGCAGUGGGGAAUCUUCCGCAAUGGGCGAAAGCCUGACGGAGCAACGCCGCGUGAGUGAAGAAGGUCUUCGGAUCGUAAAGCUCUGUUGUCGGGGACGAAUGUUGAGACCUAGAACAUAGGUUUCAAAUGACGGUACCUGACGAGGAAGCCACGGCUAACUACGUGCC
rnacentral:rRNA from 1 species